rnacentral:rRNA from 1 species
GAGAGUGACAGGACAAUAUGUAACCUUAUUUAUAACUUAUUCGAUUAAUUUAAUCCUACUAUUAAAUCCUAUAUUUAAUUAAUUUUAGUAAUUGCAUUUCAGAUAAUCCUAUUAAAAACUAUAUGUUAUUUGAACAAAAAUUUAAGUUAUAACUUAUUUUUAAACAACCACACACAAACUUUAUUAAUAGUAAAUAAAAUUGAGGAUUAUCAAAUUAUUAUCCAAAAUUCUCUAAAAAGAAUAAAUAACUGCCAUACAAUUUAGGUUUUUAUGUACUACCUAAAAUAAAAUACAUACCUGGAUUCUAUCCCAGUUUUGUCAAUUUUUUUUUUUAUUUAUUAAUAAAAUUUUUAAUUUGUAACUAAUAAACUAUUUUAUUAGUGAUAAUUAUAUAUUUACCGCCCCGGU